rnacentral:rRNA from 1 species
UACGUAGGGUGCGAGCGUUGUCCGGAAUUAUUGGGCGUAAAGGGCUCGUAGGCGGUUUGUCGCGUCGGGAGUGAAAUCCACUGGCUUAACUGGUGGCUUGCUUUCGAUACGGGCAGACUGGAGGUAUGCAGGGGGAGAACGGAAUUCCUGGUGUAGCGGUGAAAUGCGCAGAUAUCAGGAGGAACACCGGUGGCGAAGGCGGUUCUCUGGGCAUGUCCUGACGCUGGAGGAGCGAAGUGUGGGGAGCGAACAGGA